UUGAGCCACCGGCCCACGUGUUCAAUUACGAUUCAAUGCGGCUUUAUUGUUGCAAGUAAGACAGAACUUGUGAAAACUUUCUGCUUAAAUUACAUGUAUACAUUUAUGUUUGUGUGUGUGUGCUAGUUUGUGUGUAUGUGAGCAGCCUCUCCAUUUGAUGCAAGUGCGACGCAGUUUGAUUUCCACUUCGUAUUCUCUCUU